rnacentral:lncRNA from 1 species
GACUGGGAUAGAAAGAAAUUGCUCACUGCCUGUCAUAGGCAGUCAUUGCCCAGCAGAUCUGGUGGUGCUGAAAGCUGUGCCCUCCUGGAGCACUAUGGCAGUCACCACUUUCCUGGCGAUGCCUCCACUGAACAAAUCUAUGAAAACUACCGACAGAUUCACACAACUGCUAAAUGGAGUGAAGUCAGUGGAAGAGACUUGACAAGUUGGUGGCAAUGCUGUAAAUUAAAACCUGCAGGCAGUGAAUCCUGUCAAUUCUCUGUGGCUAGAAUGGUGAUUGCUUUUCAACAUCAAGCAGUGUAUUUAGCAGCUGAAAAAUGUGUUUCCUUCGUGUACUCUGCAGAUUAUUGAGUGAAGAAUUUCAGGGUACUUACUGACAACAGAUGGCAAAGUAACAAUCGAGUAUCCACCACUUGAGAAAAUGACCGGGUAUCAACUAUGGGAUAAAAUCCAUCUAAAAGAAAAUGGGACAUCCAAAAGAUGGGACCUUCAGCAGUUACAACAAGCUCCUAAAUGUCUUUCCAGAAAGAUUAAACUGAAUCUAUUCACAAUCUGACAUGAGUUACAUGUGAGUCAGUCCAAGUUAUCUGCAGCACUGAUGGAUGCCACCUCCACUUUACUGAAGUCAAUAAAGAAAACAAAAUAGAAAGGAA